CUUGCUUUCUUUGCUGGCGACCGGCGUACGGGUGAGUAACACGUAUCCAACCUGCCCUUUACUCGGGGAUAGCCUUUCGAAAGAAAGAUUAAUACCCGAUAGUAUAAUGAUUCCGCAUGGUUUCAUUAUUAAAGGAUUCCGGUAAAGGAUGGGGAUGCGUUCCAUUAGGUUGUUGGUGAGGUAACGGCUCACCAAGCCUUCGAUGGAUAGGGGUUCUGAGAGGAAGGUCCCCCACAUUGGAACUGAGACACGGUCCAA
rnacentral:rRNA from 1 species